UUGCAAAAACUAAAUAAUUAUCCG
rnacentral:snRNA from 1 species